ensembl:lncRNA
AGCCUGGUGAAGCUGGAGUUAUCUGGGUCCGUUGGAAUCUCACAGGGAGCGAACAGCCACCUCCACUCAGACCCCGCCCCCGGCCCAUUCACUCGGAAUCUCUGGGGCGGAGCUUUCUACCGGCUCCCUGGGCUGAGCCCGCCCGUCUGCUGGCGGGAAGCCAGAGGUCCGGGCUGAGGGCCCUGUGCCACAGGCUCUCAGCACGAUGCCUUCCUGCGCGAGCCCAAACUUGUGUGCCUCAGCUUCCUUGUCGGCUUCGAGGGGAUAAAGAUGCCUGUCCUGGGCUGCCCUGGGGUUGGGGGUGGUGCCCCUGCAUCCCCAAGUGGACGGUGAGCGAGAGGGCAGGAGCCACAGCUUCCUCGGUGCUGCGUGCAGAAGGGGAAGGGCCGUCCGUGGGAACCGGGACCCAGGCGGAAAGGAAGGCCAGGUGUCUCCACUUAUCAUAAGAGUCUCCAGCGUACAGUUCUCGGUACAGUUCUCCAGAUCCCCAGACCUAGACUUGUAGUCCUGGAAGGAAGGUUUGACCAUCCCCCACUUGGGAUUCCCAAACACCAGGCUGGGGACUGGGGCCAGCCUGUGACAAGCAAAGACCUGUCAGAGGCAAAAUGAAACCAGUGAGCACAAGGCAAAGAGGCAGUUGGAGAAACUUUUCCUUCACCUUCAGCACCCAGAACCACCUCAUCUUUGCUCAGCUAGAUCCGCUGGGGCAUAUUCAAACCACCAGACUGAUCCCACCUAAAAUGUCAAUGUCACACUCCAUUCAGAGGCGCAGGACCAGAGUGAGACUGCUCUUCACCUCUCGGCUCCGCUCCAGCCCUCCACAUCCCCUCUUCCGUCACUGCCUUCUGACUCACUCCUCCGUGGGGCUGGAGGGAGAAGGAACAGGGGCAGAGCCGCUCGGGGGGUGCCGGCACAGUGUCUCCUGCCCGUGGAGUCCUGAAACCGGGUGGGUGGUGUUCAAGCACAGGCUCUGCCGCGGAGAUGCCAUGGGGACCCCUUCAGGCCCCGCCGCAGCCCCAGCCGGUGGUCCAGUGUACUCAGGCAGCCAGCCCUCCAAACACCCCUGACCUGGCCCACCCCGAGGGCCAGUAGAAAUGCAGAGUGUGGCCACCCAGGGGACCUUCAGAGCCAUCGCUGAUUGUCUGCACACAAGGCCAGGCCUCCCAAGGACACCCCACUUCUCGUGUCCCCGGGCGCAGUUCUGAAGCUCAGCAAAUGCCCAGCUGAGGGUCUGACCUUAAGGACUGCCUCUGUUGGCUGGGGUGGGAUGGGGGGUAUGCCCCCCCCCACUCUCCACCUCUAUUCCUAAAACCUUGCCUCAGCCAAGCCCCUGUCAGCUUCUAGCAUCCUCUGUGGUCUCGUGGCCUUGGCCUGGGCACUCUGUGUGCUUUGAAAAGUGAGAGUGAAAGUCACUCAGUUGCGUCGGACUCUUUGUGACCCCAUGGACUAUACAGUCUGUGGAAUUCUUCAGGCCAGAAUACCGGAGUGGGUAGCCAUUCCCUUCUUCAGGGGAUCUUCCCAACCCAGGGAUCGAACCCAGGUCUACCUGCACUGCAGGUGGAUACUUUACCAGCUGAGCCACCAGAGAAGGCCAAGAAUACUGGAGUAGGGUAGGCUAUCCCUUCUCCAGCGGAUCUUUCCAACCCGGGAAUCGAAUCAGGGUCUCCCGCAUUGCAGGCAGAUUCUUUGCCAGCUGAGCUGUGUGCUUUACAGGCACCAAUUCAUUGAAGCCUCAUCACAGUCCCAUUUCACAGAUGAGGAAACAGAAGUCACCUGCUCAGGGUCACACAGCUGCUUACUAGCGCAGCCUUAACCCAAUUGCAGGCAGCACUCCUCCUGGCACUGUACUCGUAACCACUCUGCUGUCCUGCCUGGCCCUCUGCUGGACCACUCUGCAAUCUCUGGGCAAGUCUGGAAUGGAGUGUCCAGCCCCUCAUCUGACACGUGCAGGCUCUGUCUUCUCUGCUUCCAGACUUCACCCAGACCCUGGGCAUGGGGGAAAACCGAUGGAUUGGGAGCCCAGGGGUUGCUGGGGUGAAGGAAUAAAGGAGUGGUUAUUCUUAGUCUGGACUCUUAGCCUCCUAUUCA